rnacentral:rRNA from 1 species
GACGAACGCUGGCGGCGUGCCUAAUACAUGCAAGUCGAACGCUAAAGUAGGAGCUUGCUUCUCUGGAUGAGUUGCGAACGGGUGAGUAACGCGUAGGUAACCUGCCUGGUAGUGGGGGAUAACUAUUUGCAACGAUAGCUAAUACCGCAUAAUAGCAGUUGUUGCAUGAUAACUGUGUGAAAGGUGCACUUGCACCUCUACCAGAUGGACCUGAGUUGUAUUAGCUAGUUGUUGGGUUAACGGCUCACCAAGGGGACGAUACAUAGUCGACCUGAGAGGGUGAUCGGCCACACUGGGACGGGGACACGGCCCAGAAUACUACGGGAGGCAGCAGUAGGGAAUCUUCGGCAAUGGACGGAAGUCUGAACGAGCAACGACGCGUGAGUGAAGAAGGUUUUCGGAUCGUAAAGCUCAGUUGUAAGAGAAGAACGAGUGUGAGAGUGGAAAGUGCACACUGUGACGGUACCUGACCAGAAAGCGACGGCUAACUACGUG